rnacentral:rRNA from 1 species
AUUGAACGCUGGCGGCAGGCCUAACACAUGCAAGUCGAGCGAGCGGCGGACGGGUGAGAAAUGUGUGGGAAACUGCCUGAGGGAGGGGGAUAACUACAGGAAACGGUAGCUAAAACCGCGUACCAUCAGGUGUGCCCCGAUGGGGUUAGCUAGUAGGUGGGGGAACGGCUCACCCAGGCGACGAUCCCUAGCUGGUCUGAGAGGAUGACCAGCCACACUGGAACUGAGACACGGUCCAGACUCCUACGGGAGGCAGCAGUGGGGAAUAUUGCACAAUGGGCGCAAGCCUGAUGCAGCCAUGCCGCGUGUGUGAAGAAGGCCUUCGGGUUGUAAAGCACUUUCAGCGGGGAGGCGUUACCCGCAGAAGAAGCACCGGCUAACUCCGUGCCAGCAGCCGCGGUAAUUC